GCUGGCCAUUAUUUUUUGGGUGCUUUGAGUCUAAAAGAGAAGCUUGGAAGCUCAAAGUCUGGCUGUGGCCAUGGGAGACACGGUAGUGGAGCCUGCCCCCCUGAAGCCAACUUCUGAGCCUGCUUCUGGCCCACCAGGGAAUAAUGGGGGCUCCUUGCUAAGUGUCAUCACGGAGGGGGUCGGGGAGCUCUCGGUGAUUGACCCUGAGGUGGCCCAGAAGGCCUGCCAGGAGGUGCUGGAGAAAGUCAAGCUCUUGCAUGGAGGCGUGGCCAUCUCUAGCAGAGGCACCCAACUGGAGCUGGUCAAUGGGGAUGGUGUGGACAGCGAGAUCCGUUGCCUGGACGACCCACCUGCCCAGAUAAGGGAGGAGGAAGAUGAGAUGGGGGCCACAGUGGCCUCAGGCACAGCCAAGGGAGCAAGAAAGCGGCGGCAGAACAACUCGGCCAAACAGUCUUGGCUGCUGAGGCUGUUUGAGUCGAAACUGUUUGACAUCUCUAUGGCCAUUUCAUACCUGUAUAACUCCAAGGAGCCUGGGGUGCAGGCCUACAUCAGCAACCGGCUCUUCUGCUUUCGUAAUGAGGAUGUGGACUUCUAUCUGCCCCAGUUGCUUAACAUGUACAUUCACAUGGAUGAGGAUGUGGGUGAUGCCAUCAAGCCCUACAUAGUCCACCGCUGCCGCCAGAGCAUUAACUUUUCCCUCCAGUGUGCUCUGUUGCUGCGGGCCUACUCUUCAGACAUGCACAUUUCCACUCAGCGACACUCCCGUGGGACCAAGCUGCGGAAGCUGAUCCUCUCAGAUGAGCUGAAGCCUGCUCACCGAAAGAGGGAGCUGCCCUCCCUGAGCCCAGCCCCCGACAAAGGGCUGUCUCCCUCUAAAAGGACUCACCAGCGCUCCAAGUCAGAUGCCACUGCCAGCAUAAGUCUCAGCAGCAACCUGAAACGAACAGCCAGCAACCCUAAAGUGGAGAAUGAGGAUGAGGAGCUCUCCUCCAGCACCGAGAGUAUUGAUAAUUCAUUCAGUUCCCCCGUCAGACUGGCUCCUGAGCGAGAAUUCAUCAAGUCCCUGAUGGCAAUUGGCAAGCAGCUGGCCACGCUCCCCACCAAGGAGCAGAAGACACAGCGGCUGAUCUCAGAGCUCUCCCUGCUCAACCACAAGCUCCCCGCCCGAGUCUGGCUGCCCACUGCCGGCUUUGACCACCACGUGGUCCGCGUGCCCCACACCCAGGCUGUCGUCCUCAACUCUAAGGACAAGGCUCCCUACCUGAUCUAUGUGGAAGUCCUCGAAUGUGAAAACUUCGACACCACUAGUGUCCCUGCCCGGAUCCCCGAGAACCGAAUUCGGAGCACCCGGUCUGUAGAGAACCUGCCCGAAUGCAGCAUCACCCACGAGCAGCGGGCAGGCAGCUUCAGCACUGUGCNCCUGUGCUUAGCACUUCUGAACCGGCAGUGCCCUGCUCUCCCCAGCUCCCUGAAGUGCACACCAACAGCUGUGACAACAUCUCCCAGUUCUCCGUGGACAGCAUCACCAGCCAGGAAAGCAAGGAGCCUGUGUUCAUUGCAGCAGGUGACAUCCGAAGGCGCCUUUCGGAGCAGCUGGCUCACACCCCCACAGCCUUCAAAUGAGACCCAGAAGACCCUUCUGCAGUUGCUCUUAAAGAGCCCUGGCAGGAGAAAGUGCGGCGCAUUAGAGAGGGAUCCCCCUAUGGCCAUCUCCCCAAUUGGCGGCUCCUGUCAUUGUCAAGUGUGGGGAUGAUCUUCGGCAGAAGCUGUUGGCCUUCCAGGUGCUAAAGCAACUGCAGUCCAUUUGGGAACAGGAGCGAGUACCCCUGUGGAUUAAGCCAUAUAAGAUUCUUGUGAUUUCGGCCGACAGUGGCAUGAUUGAACCAGUGGUCAACGCUGUAUCCAUACACCAGGUGAAGAAGCAGUCUCAGCUCUCCCUGCUCGAUUACCUCCUACAGGAGCAUGGCAGUUACACCACUGAGGCAUUCCUCAGUGCCCAGCGCAAUUUUGUGCAGAGUUGUGCUGGCUACUGCUUGGUCUGCUACCUGCUACAGGUCAAGGACAGACACAAUGGGAACAUCCUAUUGGACGCAGAAGGCCACAUCAUCCACAUCGACUUUGGCUUCAUCCUAUCCAGCUCACCCCGAAACCUGGGCUUUGAGACAUCAGCCUUUAAGCUGACCACAGAGUUUGUGGACGUGAUGGGCGGCCUGGAUGGCGACAUGUUCAACUAUUACAAGAUGUUGAUGCUGCAGGGGCUGAUUGCUGCUCGGAAACACAUGGAUAAGGUGGUGCAGAUCGUAGAGAUCAUGCAGCAAGGUUCUCAGCUUCCUUGCUUCCAUGGCUCCAGUACCAUCCGCAACCUCAAGGAGAGGUUCCACAUGAGCAUGACUGAGGAGCAGCUCCAGCUGCUGGUGGAGCAGAUGGUGGACAGCAGUAUGCGGUCUAUCACCACCAAACUCUAUGAUGGCUUCCAGUACCUCACCAACGGCAUCAUGUGACACCCUCCUCCUCAGGCCCCAGCGCAAUGGGGGGGUUCAGGGGACCCUCCCUGGGAAGGCCCUUGGAGAAACCCUAAGCCAGGAAGCCCCAGCCACCCAGCCAUCCACCAAGGGAAAUGGAAGGCAAGAAAUACAAAGGAUCAUGUGGUAACCGUAGAACUUGCCAGGGCAGGUGGGGAGAGCCAGCUGUGGGGUCCAGACUGACUGGGGCUUCCUUGCCACCACCCCAGCUGUGUCAGUAUUACCACCAGAUGGACUCCAGGACUCACUGCCCUCCAGAGAACAGAAGUGAUAAAUGUGGGGGGCGCUGGGGCCUCGCUUCUCCUCACCAGGGUCCGAGAGGUUCUUUCCACAGGCCAUCCUCUUCAUGUAUUCUGGGCCCCAGGAAGGAGAAGAGA